rnacentral:lncRNA from 1 species
UACGGACUUGCCUUUGCAGUUGUGGUAAGAGGUGAGCCCCAUGAGCCAAGUGCAUGAGUUUCGGAUGUCUACAUUACACGGGCACGUUACAGGAGCAAGUGUGCUACUGUCCCUUACUGCCCUUCAGAGCACGAUUAUUUCAUCUACGCCUGGAGAACGAGUAGUGACUCUUUUCAAAGCCCAAGGAAGUUUGGUUGACAUGAGAAAAGCAACAGUGGCUAGAGGGAAGAGCAAGGAGAGGAAAAUGAGACAAACUUGAAGAGGUAGAAGGAAAGGACCGCUGAUACUGAUAGAUUGCUAAAGGCAGAACAGAGUCAUUUGUUUGGACGUCAUUUUGAAAUCACAAUUAUCAAAACCACAAACGGAACACUGGAAGGAGACAAGCCUCUAUGUGUCCCAUAACACAUCCCUCGGGAUGUGAAAAUUGAAGAGAAGACAGAUGAAAAUGACUUUCUAUGAGGAGAACACCAAGACCUUGCCAUGAGCGACAGGCCAGCUCCUAGCAACACCCAGGCCAAGCUGAUGGGACCAG